AUUAUUCAUAACGACUCUCGGCAACGGAUAUCUCGGCUCUCGCAUCGAUGAAGAACGUAGCGAACUGCGAUACUUGGUGUGAAUUGCAGAAUCCCGUGAACCAUCGAGUCUUUGAACGCAAGUUGCGCCCGAAGCUUUCGCUGAGGGCACGUUUGCCUGGGUGUC
rnacentral:rRNA from 1 species